GACGAACGCUGACGGUGUGCUUUAGACAUGCAAGUCGAACGCGAAAGCCCUUCGGGGUUAGUAGAGUGGCGAACGGGUGAGUAACACGUGGGCAAUCUGCCCCUCGCAGGGGGACAACCGGAGGAAACUCCGGCUAAUACCCGUACGCUUGCUGGACCGCAUGGUCCGGCAAGGAAAGGUAGCUUCGGCCAUCCGGCGAGGGAUGAGCCCGCGGUGCAUUAGCUAGUUGGUGAGGUAACGGCNCACCAAGGCAACGAUGCAUAGCUGGUCUGAGAGGAUGAUCAGCCACACUGGGACUGAGACACGGCCCAGACUCCUACGGGAGGCAGCAGUCGGGAAUCUUGCGCAAUGGGCGAAAGCCUGACGCAGCAACACCGUGUGAGCGAACGAAGGCCUUCGGGU
rnacentral:rRNA from 1 species